rnacentral:lncRNA from 1 species
UGUACUAUGCUGUGAUUUCAUAAUAUUGCUUAUUGGAAUAUUUUAUCUCACCCCUCUAUUACCUUCCAGAUACUGAAGAUACUGCUGCAGAGUAACCAGUGAUACAAAGAAAAUUUUUGAAGUCUAGACUCAGAUAUUAAUGUUACUAUUUCAUACUUUUGUUUAGUAAUCUAAGUAAGAAAAUUUAGAGCCUCGUACAAAUACAUAUUUAAUGGAUG